ACUCACCUGACGAGUCCCAAAUAUGACGAAACACGUGUCCUAGAU
rnacentral:hammerhead_ribozyme from 1 species